rnacentral:rRNA from 1 species
GAUCCGUAUGAUAUCGUCUACAGCAACAUACCAAAGAACACACACAUGUUCAGAACGGAAAAAAAUUGCAAGUUCUGUAAUGCAACGAAAUUGAAGUAUGAAUCUAAGGGGUUAUGUUGCAGAAAAGGGAAGAUAAGACUAGCCAAUCCAGAUACAGCACCUGAACUUAUGAGACUUUGGACAAGCAACGACUCUGAUGCAAGACAUUUUCGGAACAAUAUAAGAUUUUUCAAUGGACACUUCUCAUUCACUACUCUAUACUGCUAGCUUGAC